GACGAACGCUGGCGGCGUGCUUAACACAUGCAAGUCGAGCGGUAAGGCUCCUUCGGGAGUACACGAGCGGCGAACGGGUGAGUAACACGUGAGUAAUCUGCCCUUCACUUCGGGAUAACCACCGGAAACGGUGGCUAAUACCGAAUACGACCAGUCUUCGCAUGAGGUGCUGGUGGAAAGUCUUUUCGGUGAAGGAUGUGCUCGCGGCCUAUCAGCUUGUUGGUGGGGUAAUGGCCUACCAAGGCUUCGACGGGUAGCCGGCCUGAGAGGGUGACCGGCCACACUGGGACUGAGACACGGCCCAGACUCCGACGGGAGGCAGCAGUGGGGAAUAUUGGACAAUGGGCGAAAGCCUGAUCCAGCAACGCCGCGUGAGGGAUGACGGCCUUCGGGUUGUAAACCUCGUUCAGUACCGACGAAGCGCCCUGUCGGGUGGUGACGGUAGGUACAGAAGAAGGACCGGCCAACUACGUG
rnacentral:rRNA from 1 species